UCGCAAGCGAUUUGAUAUUGACCGCAUGCAUUAGCUGCUUUGAUGGACGUAGCUAAAAAGGUAGAAUAUGAGAUUCAUGUUAAAGAUUAUAACUCCAAAUAUUAUUGGAUGGAGCAGUGGUCAUUGGCAUAUUACCGGACGAUAUAUCUAGUUCCACAUAUGUCUUAGUGGAUUGUACCUGACUACAUACAAGAGAAGUAUUCCUUUCCUCCGGUUUAUGUUGCUCAAAAGAAAAAAGGAAGACCUCGAACAACAAGGUUUCCAUCGGCCGGAGAAUAUCGAGGAAGGAAGAAUAAAUCUACUGGAGGCUUGUACGAGUAUUUUCGUUGUAGUCAAAGUUAAUUUCUAUGUUGCUAUAACUGUUUGUCUUUGGUUGCUACAACUCGUUUGUUCUGUAAAAUUGUGUGAAAUUGUAGUUUAAUCACCUAAUAUAGGAAAUACAACUGUAAAAAAUGAAUUGAGUUAAAGGUACUACUGAUGGUAAGUGUUUAACACAAAAAUACAACUAUGUUCAUGCCUUUACAACUGAAAGUUUGAGGACAGCUAUUUGAUGUUUUUUUUACAUAUGGGUCCCUAUUUAUCCAAACAACUGGUUUUUCAUGGGUCCUAUUUUCCUAACAUAUUGUUUUUUAUGGGUCCCAUUUGUCCAAACUCCAAAUAUUUGGGAUGGUUUGUAAUGGAUCCCAUUUAUGGGUUUAGUCGAUUUAUUUUAGAGACUCAAAUUUCACAAUAAUACAUUUGUACCUAUUAAAAAGACAGUUGUACCAUAAGAAACAUUUGUACCUAAUAAUUUUUAAAACACAUGUUCCAAAAUGGAGGAUCCUAAACCAUCAUCCAGCAAAACCAACCCGGGAUUACAAAAAAUAGACACCCUAAACCGUCCAACAAAAAACUAACAUGAGCAACAUACAAUCACGGUUUACUUCUAUUACUCCUCCUUUGAAUUGUCCAUGGAGGCUUUUGAUAUUGUGAAGGAUUCCUGGAUCUCUUCCUCUUCUUAGGAGAAGUCUUUUUGCCACUGCUUAUUUCUGCAACUUCUUCUUUUUCAGCCAUCUCAUCAUCUCCUUCUUCUACUCCUUCUCUAUUUGAUGCAUCAUCUCCUUCUUCUGGUCCUUCUCUAUUUGAUGCUUCUUCUUCUGCACCUUCCUCAUCUGUUGCAUCUACUUUUUCUGAUGUUUCUUCUUCUACACCAGCCAUCUCAUCAUUGUCUCCUUCUGCUCCUUCCUCAUCUGUUGCAUCUACUUGUUCUGCAUCUUCUUCUUCUACACCAGCCAUCUCAUCAUCGUUUUCUUCUUUUGCACCUUCUUCAUCCGAUGCAUCUUCUUCUUGUUCUUCAUUUCCAAAACCAGAUCCUCCUAUAUCAUCACUAGCUUUUUUUCCUGUUGCUCCUACACCAGCCAUCUCAUCAUCCAGAUCUGCUUCCUUUUGAAAGCCACAUCCUCGAUUAUCAUCGCUAGCCUGAAAAUUCAACCCACCACCAUUCAUAGCAUUGUUCACACAACGUUCAUGAUCUUUCACCCUUCUCUCACAGAGAUCAAACCGCUUUCCAAUCCUCUUUUCGAGCUCUUUAAACCCUGCAUUCAUCGCCCUCAUCAGUUUUUUUCAAGGGAUUUAAGAUUUUUCACCUAUCUAGAAGACUGUGGCUGCUCCUCUUCUUACUGCCCAUCUUCUUGCGGUGCAUCUUUUUGCUGCUCCUCUGUUGUAUUUGCUCCUCGAGAAGCCACGUCCAAAUCAUACAGCUCUUUCCAGAAUAUCUUCUACAUUUUAACACAUAUGUGAUGCUCCCAGCUCACUGCAAUUAUAUUACUUGAUUGUUUCUCAUCAUUUUCGUUUAUGCGAGGCAUAAGAGGUUCCUCACAAAAUUCAGGUUCCAAAAUGCUAUGAAUUACCUGUGAACAUAAAGAUGUCCAAAAUAAAAUAUCACCUUAGAUUUACAAUGAAAAGCUGAUAU
rnacentral:sRNA from 1 species